ACAGCGUAUAAACUAACCAUGUCGGUGUUUUAUUUUAUUGAGUCGUUUGAAACUACUAACCACGUCGGUAGUUAUUUAUCGUCGUGAUAAAUAUAUAAUGUCGUCGAUUGCUACUUUAUUUCGUCGUGUGAAAUAUUAUAAUACGUCGUUUUUGUAAAUAACCAUCGUUAACGGGGAUCAAACCGACGUAGUUCCAAAAU
rnacentral:lncRNA from 1 species